rnacentral:rRNA from 1 species
CUCGUAGGCGGCCAACUAAGUCGGACGUGAAAUCCCUCGGCUCAACUGGGGAACUGCGUCCGAUACUGGAUGGCUUGAGUUCGGGAGAGGGAUGUGGAUUUCCAGGUGUAGCGGUGAAAUGCGUAGAUAUCUGGAGGAACACCGGUGGCGAAGGCGGCAUCCUGGACCGACACUGACGCUGAUGAGCGAAAGCCAGGGGAGCAAACG